UACGUAGGGUGCGAGCGUUAAUCGGAAUUACUGGGCGUAAAGCGUGCGUAGGCGGUCCGCGAAGUCUGAUGUGAAAGCCCCGGGCUCAACCUGGGAACUGCAUUGGAAACUAACGGGCUCGAGUGUGGCAGAGGGGGGUGGAAUUCCACGUGUAGCAGUGAAAUGCGUAGAGAUGUGGAGGAACACCGAUGGCGAAGGCAGCCCCCUGGGCUAACACUGACGUUCAGGCACGAAAGCGUGGGGAGCAAACAGG
rnacentral:rRNA from 1 species